rnacentral:rRNA from 1 species
GGAUUGUAGUCUGCAACUCGACUACAUGAAGCUGGAAUCGCUAGUAAUCGCGGAUCAGAAUGCCGCGGUGAAUACGUUCCCGGGUCUUGUACACACCGCCCGUCACACCAUGGGAGUCAGUAACGCCCGAAGCCGGUGACCCAACCUAUUCUGGAGGGAGCCGUCGAGGGCGGGACGGAUGACUGGGGUGAAGUCGUAACAAGGUACC